ensembl:lncRNA
AUGAGGCAAAAGUUGACCUCAGAUGUGGCCUGCCAAGAUGCCAGAGCUGGUAGGAUUCUCGUGAAGAUGAAUGAGCUACUCCUUAGCUCAGUAGUGUCAGCUUAUCACCCUCAUCUUCAUCACCACCUCUACCACCAUCAUCCUCAUCCUCAUCACCUUCAUCACAACCCUCAUCCUCAUCACCAUCAUCACCAUCAUCACAACCAUCAUCAUCCUCAUCAUCACCUUCAUCACUAUCAUCACCCUCAUCCUCAUCACCCUCAUCCUCAUCACCCUCAUCCUCAUCACCAUCAUCCUCAUCACCAUCAUCACAACCAUCAUCCUCAUCACCAUCAUCACCAUCACUACCACUAUCACCCUCCUUAUCAUCACCCUCAUCACUAUCAUCACACCCUCAUCCUCAUCACCAUCAUCACAACCAUCGUCCUCAUCACCCUCAUCACCACCACUACCACUAUCAUCAUCCUCAUCACUAUCCUCACAACCAUCACCCUCAUCCUCAUCAUCCUCAUCACCAUCAUCACCCUCACCAUCAUCACCAUCAUCACAACCAUCAUCCUCAUCAUCACCCUCAUCACUAUCAUCACAACCAUCACCCUCAUCCUCAUCACCCUCAUCCUCAUCACCUUCAUCACCACCACUACCACCAUCAUCCUCAUCAUCACCCUCAUCCUCAACACCCUCAUCACCAUCAUCACAACCAUCACCCUCAUCCUCAUCACCAUCACCACCACUAUCAUCCUCAUCAUCACCCUCAUCACUAUCAUCACAACCAUCAUCCUUAUCACCAUCAUCCUCAUCAUCACCAUCAUCCUCAUCACCAUCAUCACAACCAUCAUCCUCAUCCUCAUCACCUUCAUCACCACCACUACCACCAUCAUCAUCCUCAUCCUCACCCUCAUCCUCAUCACCAUCACCACCACUAUCAUCAUCCUCAUCACCCUCAUCACUAUCAUCACAACCAUCGUCCUCAACACCACCGUCUUCAUCACCACCACUACCACUAUCAUCAUCCUCAUCAUCACCUUCAUCCUCAACACCCUCAUCAUCACCUUCAUCUUCAACACCCUCAUCCUCCUCAUCAUCACCAUCACCAUCAUCACAACCAUCAUCCUCAUCUUCAUCACCUUCAUCACCACCACUACCACCAUCAUCAUCCUCAUCCUCACCCUCAUCCUCAUCACCAUCACCACCACUAUCAUCAUCCUCAUCAGCAUCCUCAUCAUCCUCAUCCUCAUCACCUUCAUCACCAUCGCCAUCAUCACAACCCUCAUCCUCAUCACCAUCCUCAUCACCACCACUACCACCACCAUCAUCCUCAUCAUCACUCUCAUCCUCAUCAUUAUCCUCAUCCUCAUCACCCUCAUCUUCAUCACCACCAUCCUCAUCACCAUCACCACAUCAUCCUCCUCAUCAGCACCCUCAUCACCCUCAUCCUCAUCACCCUCAUCCUCAUCACCACCACUACCUCCAUCCUCAUCACCAUCAUCCUCUUCACCACCCUCAUCAUCACCAUUCUUAUGGCUCCUGAAUCCAGACUCCUUCAAAGAUGAGCCUCUGUGUCUGACUCAGCCUCAAAUAACUCUUGCUGGGCCUCUCAUGUUUUCAGUCCCCUUUUCCUAUCCCAGGGCUGCUUCGUAA